AGGUUGCUGUUAUGUUAUAGCAGCAGCAAGGAAGUGUUUUGCUUCAUCAUUUAGCAAAUGCAGUCAUGCAAUGAGGCAAUGCCACCAUUGGUGCUUUGGUUGACUCUCCUUGCAGCUCCAGGUGCGAGUGGGGGUGCACUGACCAUCAGCUCAUAUUGCUCCUGUACUGACUCAUUUAUCUUUUGGUGCUCAUUCUCCAACACCACAUGGAAAUGCUUGAGCAGCCACUCUAACCUUUGGGCUGCAGUAAUGAGCCUCACAUGGCAUCUGAUUGGCAACAUGUGGUCUGGGUCAUUGCUUUGCUUCAGCUGCUUGUUAGGCCCUGAUCUCCAUUUGAUUUCAAGGUGAAACUAAUGGGAUUUUGUUGAGGCUCCUCUCGUUCAGCGUGGAUCUCACAGCUAAGCAUCCUGGUGGAGGCAGGGAUGGAUCAGAGCUGACCUGACUCCUUCCCCAGCUCUGCAGGGAAUGGAGGCAAUGUUCUGCUACGUGUGGACUCUGCUGGUGCUUCUCUGGACUCAUUUGGAAGCAGGUGUUCCUGUUAGAGAACGUGGAGGGGACAAAUGCAGCAAGCUCUUGUGAGCAAACAAGAACCUGUGAUGGUCAACCCUUCAUUGGAAGGGGAUCCCUCAGUGCUGGAUCUGGAAUCCAAACAUUUGCCAAGAGGUAAACACAUCUGGCAAAACCUUCACUUGCUAAGAAGUCAUCUGACUUGGAAGGAUAUUUCAGAGAGAAUAUGAGAACGUAUCGGAUCGACUCUGCAAAGGAAUGGCCUUCUUCACUCAUGGUGUUGCCAGUUGCAUCUGAAUUGCUACAGACAGAAAGACAGCUGCUUGAAAGCAGUAACGAGGGUGAGACUUUCACAGCUUUGAUUUCCUAUAGGCACAAGCUGAAGAUACCUAUAGUACAGAGCCAUUAUCUCUGGCUUUUGAGCAUACCUGAGAAAACCAGUUAUGGAAGCAGAAAUAAAAAUGCAGUUUUCAAAUGUGGUGCAGUUUUCUCUCUUCGUUGUGGGACACCAAAGUUCUUUUACAGGCCUACCUGGCAUGACUUUGGAGAAGAAUCUCCAUAACUGAGAGAGGAACCCAGACCACUGAAAUGUGAAAGAAGCCCCAUCCGGUUCCCCAGGCAGACAGCAUUCGGAUUUGUCUCAAGCACAGCUUCAGCCACACACCUGCAGGAUGGAAACAGGCAGAGCAAACAAUGAAACAAGGCUGUUUAUAAAGCCUUCAACACGUCAGGCAGGGAGAAGAGCCCAAGUUUCCACGUCAAGGCCUAAACGGACCAGAAUGACGCGAAACACAUGGAAAAUAUGGAAAAUGUGGAAUAAGUAAUAAAAUCAUAAAUAAAACAAAUACAA